CAGUCGCCGCGGUAAUACGAAGGGGGCUAGCGUUGUUCGGAUUUACUGGGCGUAAAGGGCGCGUAGGCGGACUGAUAAGUCAGGGGUGAAAUCCCAAGGCUCAACCUUGGAACUGCCUUUGAUACUGUUUGUCUUGAGUUCGAGAGAGGUAAGUGGAACUGCGAGUGUAGAGGUGAAAUUCGUAGAUAUUCGCAAGAGCACCAGUGGCGAAGGCGGCUUACUGGCUCGAUACUGACGCUGAGGCGCGAAAGCGUGGGGAGCAAACAGGAUUAGAUACCCCAGUAGUCCCUGUCUCUUAUAA
rnacentral:rRNA from 1 species